UACGAAGGUGGCAAGCGUUGUUCGGUAUCACUGGGCUUAAAGAGUGUGUAGGCGGAAAGGUAAGCGUUUUGUGAAAUCCCCCGACUCAACCGGGGAAUUGCUUGACGAACUGCCUUUCUUGAGGCAAGCAGGGGUGCGUGGAACUCUUGGUGGAGCGGUGGAAUGCGUAGAUAUCAAGAGGAACGCCAACGGUGAAAACAGCGCACUGGACUUGUUCUGACGCUGAGACACGAAAGCGUGGGGAGCGAACGGGAUUAGAUACCCCCGUA
rnacentral:rRNA from 1 species